GGUAAAUCAGAAAAGGAACGACAGAAACAGCCCCGGCAGGUGUCUGUGCGCCGCGCGGUCGCUGUUACACCGCGCCCCUGGCCCCCAACGGUUCCACUCCGGACCCAAGUUUGGGCCCCUUAUUUCGCCUCUAGAAACAGAUAUCAACGAAAAACAAUCCUGGAUGUAAGCAUACAUCUAUCUACACCGACGUUUAGCACAGCAACUUAUAACGCAUUCGUCAACAACAACUAAAUACAACUGAACGUUUAAACAUAAUCUUUACAGUGGCACAAACAGAAAUAGUGGAUCAAGUUCUAAACCCCAACCUUCAGAGGACACCAAGGUUUCCAGAACCAGGCCUAGAUCGGUCAGAGACUGGUGGCAUGGAGGCACUACUUUUGUCCCCAAGGAGACUGAUUCUGUCCACAGUGUGGAGUUCCUGCUGUGCAGACACCGACUGUUUAAUGAACAAAGAAGGUGGCCCUUGUCAUGCCAGAGCCCAGAACACGGUGGUGCAGAUCUACUUUAAAUCACUAGUGGAUGUUGUCGCUCUCUUUUGGUAAAAUGAUAACAUGCUUAUUUCCAAAGAAUGUGGUUGAAGAUAAAUCUUUGUGCAUUUAGGAUCAAAUAUGCAUGCAAAUAUAAAAUACUAAAAUAUACACGCGAUGGCUGAAUUUAAAUAGAGUGCAAAGCCAGUGUAUUUGCACUUAAAAUGACUAAAGAAACUUAAAUCACCCUGCUUGCUGACAGAUUGCAUGGAGCCCACGGCAGUCUAUCUUCUUUUUAGCAAUUUAUCAACCAAUCAUUAAGUGAGUUAACUCUACACUCGGGGAAUGCUGAUGGCAGCAUUAGCCAUAAAUAAAUAAGCUAAUAUGUACAAUGGCUAAAUGAAUAGGCUUUGCCUUGUUGUUUUACGGCCCGAAAAGAACGCAGCUCUUCAUUAAAGGAAUCAUUAGAAAAUGUGGAAA